ACUCCUACGGGAGGCAGCAGUGGGGAAUAUUGCACAAUGGGCGCAGGCCUGAUGCAGCAACGCCGCGUGAGGGACGACGGCCUUCGGGUUGUAAACCUCUUUUAGUAGGGAAGAAGCGAAAGUGACGGUACCUGCAGAAAAAGCACCGGCUAACUACGUGCCAGCAGCCGCGGUAAUACGUAGGGUGCAAGCGUUAUCCGGAAUUAUUGGGCGUAAAGAGCUCGUAGGCGGUCUGUCGCGUCUGCUGUGAAAACUGGGGGCUCAACCCCCAGCCUGCAGUGGGUACGGGCAGACUAGAGUGCGGUAGGGGAGAUUGGAAUUCCUGGUGUAGCGGUGGAAUGCGCAGAUAUCAGGAGGAACACCGAUGGCGAAGGCAGAUCUCUGGGCCGUAACUGACGCUGAGGAGCGAAAGCAUGGGGAGCGAACAGGAUUAGAUACCCUGGUAGUCCAUGCCGUAAACGUUGGGAACUAGAUGUAGGGACCAUUCCACGGUUUCUGUGUCGCAGCUAACGCAUUAAGUUCCCCGCCUGGGGAGUACGGCCGCAAGGCUAAAACUCAAAGGAAUUGACGGGGGCCCGCACAAGCGGCGGAGCAUGCGGAUUAAUUCGAUGCAACGCGAAGAACCUUACCAAGGCUUGACAUAUAGAGGAAAAGGCUAGAAAUAGUCUCCCCGCAAGGUCUCUAUACAGGUGGUGCAUGGUUGUCGUCAGCUCGUGUCGUGAGAUGUUGGGUUAAGUCCCGCAACGAGCGCAACCCUCGUUCUAUGUUGCCAGCACGUAAUGGUGGGAACUCAUAGGAGACUGCCGGGGUCAACUCGGA
rnacentral:rRNA from 1 species